AAAUAAACUCUGAAAUUUUAUAGAUUAUUUAUAAGUUUGAAAUAUAAGCUAGCUCAUUGACAAUCCUCAAUAAGAAGUGAAGAGCUACUUUAACCUAUAAGAAGGUCGAGCCCACCGGCACUUAGCACCAUCAACAGCAGCACAAAACUAGUACCUGCAACAACAUGGGUUCGAAAACCCUGAGUACGAAGUGUACUUUCGCAAGUCUUACCCGACUAAAGAAAAAGACUCUCAAGGAUAUGCUGGAUUUAGGAAUCAAGGAGAGGCUUUUAGCAAGAAUCAACUUAGACAUUUUGCAGAAAAGCUUUCUAAAAGUGAGUCCUUACUUUCAACAUUUUAAUGCCAGAUUAGGUAUUAAUUAACCUUGUUUGCAUCUAGUCUAAAUUCAUCAUCCCAUUAAUCAAUACAACCAUAUUUUUACUCAUUGUGAUUCCAUCCAUGACUUACGAUGAGUGGUCGGAGGGUAGAGUCUCCAUGACCGAGGAGCAACGACGAUUCGAACCGAUUAUACCCAACUGGGGAUCCCUAACCACACGACAUAUGUAGCACUCAACCCUUGCAUAUGUCAAUCGUUCCCACAGAUCCUCCACAACGUGAACUGGUCCGUGCUACCCAGGAGCACAGUACUCCUCCGUCCAGCCUCUAGCCCGCAGGAGGGUACGCACUACUCCCAACAUCUCCCACGCCCAAUGCGUGCUUGUCUUUUCACGUAUGGAAUAGCCAGGUUAAAGCUUACCCUGUCCCAUACCAGGGUAUGUGGAUAGUUGCAAAGUCUCCACCACAACAGGCCUACAUCGAAAUAAUCCUUAAUCAACCUGGACAGAACAUCACCUGUUCCUAGCCCAAGUCUCGAUUUAAGUACUUCCAUCCUUAGGACUUAUUUGUGUACCUAAGGAUGAAUAGAAUUUCAAGGGAAUCUUGCAGUAAGAUCCCACCAUGAAAAUAGUCUUGUAGGUAGAGUCAUCCUUCCUCAGGAUAACCCCUGAGCUAGGCAUUAUUGCAAAGGACAACCUCUAUCCGCAAGAUCUAAGCAGAGCUAAGCAAUUUUGUAAAUCAUAUUUGAUACUUCACCAGAAGUAUAUAUAAAAGGAAUGGAUUUCAAGGUAGCCAAUGCAUCAAAGGGUUUCCAAGAAACUCCUAUAAACCUAAUGCACAUUUCGCUAGACUUAAAGUGUGUAAAAAUCAUGUAAAAACACAAGGAAGGGGUUGCUUGCACCGGGGCUUGCCUGGAAUAACACUAGGUUAGUGUUUGUUAGGUGGCGACCACUUGACGACCAGCCUUUGUUUUGGCAAUUGUUCAGAUUAUCCAUCUUCAGGUUCGUCCAUCAGCAUCACCUUUCGGAGCAGGUCGUGCUUUACGACAUCUUGGGGUCGACUCGGCUCGUCUUCCACAUCACGUGAUCAAUUAACGUACCUCAUGGGAUGCAUGAUGCACAUGUAUGAAUAUCAAAACAAAUAUCGCAAGAUAAUAUUACAAUUUUACACAGUAAAAAAUUAAACACUUAAUGGGAAGGCAUCACGACAUUUCAUAAGCAAACGCUAGCUAUCACCAUAUGACCAAGCGCAAUAAUCACACUUCUCUAGAUUAACCGAAUCUAAAGCAAACAUCACGAAACAGCAAAUCAUACACACUAAGUGCAACACUCACGUUCCUGCUUUUUAAUCGGAUCUAAUUCCGAAAUCUAGCAAGAAUAAAUUAUUUAACCCACAUUAUCACACUUAGUAAAAUAUAUUUCAGAAGUCUAAUAAAACCUAGACUCGCUAUUAUUAAAUACCAACGACCUCAAAAUAGUUAUAGGAACAAUCUAAUUAACUCUUUAAACCGUGUGUCUUAAUUAACCUGAAUUACCGACUUAACUAAAUCGAACAUCACAAUAUUUAUUCUUACAAAUACAACAUUUUCAAUUAACAUAGCGUUCGAUAAAGCUAAUUUCUCAACAACUUAAAUAGCUAGAGUACUAUAUACACUGACUACUACGAAAUUCUUAGAUUUCACUAAAGAUCGAUAUGGCGAUGCUACUCUCUUCUAAAUACUUUGGGUAGCUAGUAACAUUCGAUCACAACACUUGAUCAACCACCAAUUAUAGAAUAUAACGACUACUAGCAAGGUAUCAAUUUUCUUAAUUAUACUAAAUUGACACAACAAUACAUAUAGAACUUACCGACUAGUCGAAUAAAUCAUUAAGCCUAUUUUACAUGUCAAUGACUCGCCCGAGCAUCAUAUAUAUGUCUAACAAUAUUUUUCUCGUAAAUAGUACCCAAGCCUAAAAUUCAUCACCCAUCACGAUUAACAUAUACAACCAAUCCAUUCAUCAAUUUAAAUAACAUGAAUAACUACUCUGCUUACCAAGAUCGAACCAGCAUGAUAUUCGCAUGGACGGCGACGAAACUCGGGUUCAAGUGUUUUGGCGAGCACCACGGUGGGGCAGACGACGACACAAGCCAACCACAAUUGCGAGGACGAGGCGAGGUCAUCGAUUCCUAAUGUUUUUCAUCGAACACAGAGGGGAGCGAGGCAUAGCAGCACGACCACGAGCUCGGUGAGGGGCAAGCUGCUGCAAGGCGUUGGUAGAGUCAGGGCCGAGCAUGGAGAUGAACAAGCUGAAGACAAGCGACGGCGAGCGGGGAUCGAGCUCGCGACAGGAGGCGAUGACUCCAUGGACGCGAGCUGGAGUAGAGCGAGCGGUCUAGCGAGGGAGAUGCAAGGGAGGCGAGGAGCCAAGCAAUCACUUGAAUAUGGUCGACGGCGAGAUCUGCCGGAAGAGAACACUGGCACACAGCGCGGCACGACGAAUGCGCAGAACUUCAAAACCACGCGCGCUGCGAUGGUGAUCCGGUGGCCGGAGGAGCAGGGACGGAGCUCGGCAAGGUCGCGGCUGCGCGAGCACCAGAGAAGAGCUCGCAACAGAUCCGAGCAGGGGCCGGACGAGCAACAGAGAAGGGUAGCAGCGGCCAGUGAGCCAGGCUAACGACGGACGGCUGAAGAUUGAGAGCAGGAAUCAAGAAAUGGCGUGAGC
rnacentral:lncRNA from 1 species